UCAGCUCGGUUGACCAAUGGGUGGCCGCGGAGUGACUAAGCGGAAAUCCAGUCAGGGGCGUUCCAUCGAGUCACGUGAUCUAAGUCCCGCCCACAUCCAGAAAUGCGAUCAUCUCAGAAAAUCGUCUAGUCACUCACUUUUAAAUGCUUUUAUAAAAAGUUAAAUACUUAUUUUUUUCUUUUUAAAGAAAAAAAAUUAUGAAGUUUACAUUUUGUAUAGAUAAAUCACCUAACGUAUUUAUUUUUCAUAUUUAAUAAAUAAAACAGUUUGUGAUUUUUGUUUAAUAUGUGCAUGUUAUUUAAUUUAUCAGUAUGUUUUUACGUGUUAUCUUAUUUUUUUAAGAGUUUUUUUUAAUCUUGUUUGAUUUCUUGUGGGAGUAAACAAAAAUGCUGAGUCGUGUUUUGUCAGCAUUCCCACUGAUCAGACUACAACAAUUUUGAUUUGGUGAAAACUUUUCCAACAAGUGAAACUCAGCGUUCAAUAAAACCAGAACAACAAGAAGAUUAAAAUAAAAUUAAUUCGCUUAACCCGAUUCAUCCUUUCUGAAUCACAGGGGUAUUAAAAUAAAGAUUAAAAAAUUAAUUACAAUUUUAUAUAUUUUUUUAAAUGAAUGUAAAUCACCCACUGCCUUUUGUGACAAAGAGUUUUAGACAAAAAUGUGCUGAGAAUAAGGACUGACAUUUGACAAACUACAAAUGUUGUAAAGGAUCUGAUGCAACACACUGAUCACUCAGGAUGACUCAGCAACUUCACCAAACUUUAGCUUCAUGUUUGAGAAGCUGCGAGACGUGGUGGCCAUCUUUAAUGGGGUUGAUUCCAUUAUUAACUUCUGGUUAAUUAUAUCUAAAUAUUUAACAUUUAUGCCUCCAGCUUUUUAAGGAUCUGAGUUUGUUUACAAAUUAUAAUUUUUUUCAGUUUUACAGCUUUUCACCUGAAUCAGAGUGACUCCUGUUAGUAAAACAGGUGUUUCCAGCAGCGACAUCACCGUCAGCCAAUCAGCAGCAGUGUGUGUCACGUGACGCUGAGUCAGUCUGAGGUGACUCAGAGUCACAAGGUGAAAGUGUUUUUGUUUUCAGAAGUCACAGAGGGGAAAACCCGCUGCUGGGUCUGGAUCUAGAACCAACCAGAACCUUCUGAAGAAUCCUGCUUUUUCUUCUAAAUCWGGAUGAUUUUAAUUCCCACGUUAAAAAAUGUUUUCUGUUGUCACUUUAUCGCACCGGAACAACUCGGAAACACUUUGUUUAAAAAUAAUGCAGGAAAACUGAUCCAUGCAUUCAGGCUGGACUGUUGGGAUUUUUUAAAAUCUUGGUUUUGACCUAAAAGUUAUGAACAGAAUUGRUGACAAAGGACAACYUUGGUUGAGUCCAACUCUCACCAGAAAUAAGUCUGACUURCUACCAUCAAUGUGGACCAAGCUCUGGACCAGAAUCGCCUCGAAGCCGUACCAAACUCUUUUCCCAUGGCCUCUCUGAACUCCUCCCACGCUCSAGUUUUUGCCCCAGUGACCCUUUCUGAUGGGCAAUAAAAAUAAUUUUAUUCUAAAAUGACAGAAUAAAAAUCUGAACAGCGUUCUAGUGGGCGGAGCCUGCUGUAUAUAUGAUAUAUACAUAAUAUACAAGAUCAAUCACUCAUUAAUAUAAUUUUAUUUCAUUUUAUUAACAAGAAUUUGAUCAAUAGAGAAAAUAAUAAACUGUUCAAAAUCAUUACAUCUGCCUCUUCUUAAAAUGUCGUUUUUAAGUUGAGUUUAAAGACAAAGAAAAUCCAACAAAAGCCUCAUUAAUGAUGUCAGGAGUCAGCUGUGUGAUGAUGUCAUCGUGAUGUCAGAUGUACAGGUGGUACAUGCUGCGAGUCAGUUUCUUCC